AACGAGAGACUGAACCAAAAUCUUUGACCGCGUGCAGGAUGUAAGGGAAGGCAGUUAGAAUCUGCCGCUGCCCCGCAACUGUAACGGGGACGAAAUCUGCAAGCCCGCAUACCUUAAUUGGUAUACGGGACAAGAGGUCACUCUCUACUGGUGGUGGAGGGGAAGGCCGCAGAGAGUAGGAUGAACCGUUAGCCAGGAGACCUAUCCUGUCACGCCAGAUUAUC
rnacentral:ncRNA from 32 species